rnacentral:lncRNA from 1 species
UUUCUUUUCCGUUUUGAGUCGAGAUGAUGGGGUGUGAUGUGAUUUGGGCCCCCCAUUCUGUUUGGGCUGUGUGGACUAAUAUGAUCUAUUCAUUAUAUGAUCUAUUCAUUAUAUGAUCUAUUCUUUUUAUUUUAUUUUAUUCCUUUUACUGGGAGCUUGACGGCUACGCAAUGCUUUGUUUGCCGUGGAAGCUGGAAGCAGUCGGGCAUACCUGGGACUUCCACGUAGAAAAUAAAUACUUGGCCAAGGAAACACCAACUCCACCUCCACCGGAAGGCCCUGCACGCAAUCAAAAAAAAAAAAAAAAAAGACGGGGCUGUGUGAGAAAGUCUUCGAUACGACUGAGUACGACACUUUCGAAAGAAAAUAACCUUAUAAGAAAGAAAGAAAGAAAAAAAAGCCCCCUGAUCCUUCAACGAUAAUUUUAAAGAAUUUUCUAUCGAUUGUGGCAAAUUUUAGAAUGCAGAACAUGAUAUUUAACAUUAGAAAUUGUUCAAAACCCAAAUUAUAGAUUGUACAAUCUGAUUAUACUGUUGAUCUGAUUUUGUUAAUUGUGUAGGUUGCAUCUAUAUUUUUUAUGAUUUACAGAAUUUUUAAUUCAAUUUUUUUGGUUGUUAAUAUUUUAAUUCAUGAAAAGUAGUGUUGAGAUUUUGUAAAUCAUGCUGUUAUUUUAUUUAAAUGAUUAUGCAUAUAAAAAUUCACUUUUUUGAAAUUUUUAUCAAUUAUUUGAAUUACUGUAGAAUUUUAGAAAUCUGUGAAAAAGGAAUUAAAUAGAAAAUCAGAAUUAAAAUUGAUCUGACUCAGAUCGGAUCUGAGUCAGACCAGGCGGUCGGGCUCGAUCAGGCCCAACCAACACAACCUGCAGCCUGGUUUAACCCCGGUGACGUGCAGACCCGACCCGACCUAUGGCUCGGUCCGGCGCGACCUUGAGCCUGGGUUCGGGUUCGACUCGAGUCUAGUGGCUCGACUGGACCAGGCCAGUACAGCCUGAUCGGCUCGGCGCAGUUAUGGGCUAAGCAGCCCGCUGCGAGUGGCCCAACUCCGUGUGGCCUACAGGCUACAACCGAAACGGCCUGGCCCAGGCGCCGCCACUUCGUGCAGCCCAGCCUGCAGACCGCCCCUCUUCCAUUGCACGUGCCCUGCACGUCACACUCUAUGGGUUGGAUUCGGGCUAGGGUUGGCCCAGUAGCCCUGUUUUGACUCUCUUUAGGGAGCCCAAUUAACCUCUAAGUUGAACCUGAAUCGAAUUGGGUUGACCAAUUUUAGCUGAUUCAGGUGAUUCCGAACCGAUUUAGAUCGAUUCAACGUUAACCUAAAUUAGACCAUAGAUGGGAAAAAACAAACAAGUAUAUGAAAUUCAACAAACCAAAAUAAAAGCAGGAUAAAGAAAGGACACUUUCAGUAUUAAAAGAAAAAAAGCAGGAAUCAACUUGAUUGGUUUAACUUUCAAAUCUUCACUAUAUGAUUGGCUAAUUGUAAGAUUCCAAAUAGCAAUAUAUAAUCCAUACAGAAUAAGAAACAAUUAUAACAAGAGAAAAAGAGAAAAAAAAUCAUAGUUCCAGAAACUUAUUCUUGCAGAAAGAUCAGCUGUAUCCCUAUUAUGUAUUAACAAAUUCAAACAACAGUGCUAACAUGCAUAAUAUAGUCCGAGUUUCCUGAGAGCCAUCCACUGCAACACAUGUUUUCUGAUACACUAUCUGAUACACAGUUAUCAGAUACUAUGUUAUCUGAUACACAGUGAUCAGAUGUUUUCUGAUCAACCCUCAAUAAGAUCCUCGAAGAAAAACCUUAAACUAAGAAAGGCAGUCUGCUGUAGUAGCAUAGAAGACUCAUUAGUUGAUAAGAAACCUACCUUCGGUAGGGAUCAUGUGCUAUAUAGAGCACCAUCCAAUAUUAACCUAUAGAACAAUGAGAAGAGUAAACUACUUUACACCUAGAAUUAAUACUUUGCAAUGCCAUUCUCUGAUAAUUAUUUAUCAUAUGGGCCAAUUGUUUCCAUUUGUCCAUUCAGAUUUGUUUUUACCUUUGUUAAGUUCAGCCACUAAAUUGAUGCUUUCAUAAAAAUUUCAACUACUUGAUCCUUAUUUUCUUUCAAGACAAAUGGUUCUUCUACUGUUGUACAGCUUGGUAGAUAUCAGAGCUGCAAAAACUUUUGCAUCAAAAGAUGAAUUUAAAUUCUUCUGAUACCAAUUUUCAGUCAACAAUAUUUAGUUUGUUUCUAUUAUUUUAACAGUGGUAUACUUUUCUUUAAAGGUAUUCAGUCAGAACAGAGUUUCAGAUAUGUUUGUCCAACAGAUACCAUCAGAAAAAAAGAAGACAAUGCAAACACAUUACCUCAUAAAAGAAUACCUGCCAUAUAUGCCUGUCACCCUGAUGUUGCAAGUGUUUGAUUCUCCAGCUCCUUGUGUGUGUGCAACCUUGUCCGUAAAGAAGAGAGCAAAGAGAUCCAUUAAGCCCACAAAGUAAACAUGCAAUCAUAAACUUUAAAGAAACCAAAUCUUUGAAGAGUUGAAGAACCUAGUUCUUAAAAAAAAAGAAAAAUCAUUACAUCAAAAAGGCAUACGCUCACACGUAAAUUCGAACAUGAGAACUAUCACUAAUGCAAUAAUGCACUAAUCAACCUGGAUGUCUCAUUGGACCUAUCACUUGUGUUAAUAAUGUACUAAUCAACCUGAAUGUCUCAAUAGAAUAAGAACCAAAUUCUAAAAACAUGCCGUGAAAUAAUGGCAAUCUCUUAAAGAAAACUAGAAUUUCAAUUCCCACCAACCAGAAGAAAUAUAAGGUGAUCAAAAUAGCACAAAAUUAUUCAAGAACACAGAGAGGCGAAGCGGUUCUUCACAAACGUUUUCUCUUAAGAAAGACAAAUAACCUAACAGCUAAAUCUAAAAGCACAAAUUGGUACCUAAAUAGUUUUGGUUCAAGAACAUGUCCUGUAGACGAAGCAGAAUCAUAAUAAUUGCAGGCUUUUCAUCGUCCUACACAAAUAUUUACAAGAUAAUAGGCAUUUGACUCAUGUGCUUAACAAAACUUGCCUACCAGAAGCAAAGAACCCUUUCUUUCUUGUCCUGUAUCAUUUGGGAACCUCAAGAUUGCAUCACAAAGGAUUACACCAUUGAACGUCGCUUUGGAAAGCAGAGAAAGAUGCUUAGUUUGCACAACCGACUCAACGUAGGGCACCCAGACGAAUCAAAACAAUCAAUUGCGGAGGCAAGAAAAACCCCCCUUAACUUCUUGGACGAAAUGGAAGAACCUAACCUCUUCUUGAAUCUUGGUCAAGGAGAUGGCUCCGUCGGCGAAGCCGACCCCAGAAUCAGAGGAAGGGAGGCGAUGAGGACGAAGAGAGGAGGGAGCAGCGACAGUGGCGUCAUAGGAGGAGGAGAGGAAGAUGAUGAUGGAGAAGAUUAGUUGGAUUAUUUAUUCCUCAAAU